rnacentral:rRNA from 1 species
CCUACGGGAGGCUGCAGUGAGGAAUAUUGGUCAAUGGACGAGAGUCUGAACCAGCCAAGUAGCGUGAAGGAUGACUGCCCUCUGGGUUGUAAACUUCUUUUAUAUGGGAAUAAAAUGUUCCACGUGUGGGAUGUUGUAUGUACCAUAUGAAUAAGGAUCGGCUAACUCCGUGCCAGCAGCCGCGGUAAUACGGAGGAUCCGAGCGUUAUCCGGAUUUAUUGGGUUUAAAGGGAGCGUAGGUGGAUUGUUAAGUCAGUUGUGAAAGUUUGCGGCUCAACCGUAAAAUUGCAGUUGAAACUGGCAGUCUUGAGUACAGAAGAGGUGGGCGGAAUUCGUGGUGUAGCGGUGAAAUGCUUAGAUAUCACGAAGAACUCCGAUUGCGAAGGCAGCUCACUGGACUGCAACUGACACUGAGGCUCGAAAGUGUGGGUAUCAAACAGGAUUAGAUACCCUAGUAGUC